UUUACUGAAAUAACAUGUUACCGAGAGAUUCUUGAAAGUUACAUACAAGUUACAUUAUAGUUACAGUGUAAUUACAUGCAAGUUACAGUGUAAUUACACUACGAUUGUACUGUAAUUACAUCUGACAAAUAUUAGGGGGAGAAAUUUGAUGACAAAUAUCUAGCAAAAUCGACUCGAAAAUUAGGCGAGGGCCAGCCCCAAAAUAAUGUUGCUGCUCCACUAGCUGCCACUUACUCGUAUUUUGUUUUUUUUUGUUUUUUUUUUGGUGGAUGUAACACCGAUCAAGCACUCCAAUUAAAGUAUGGCCUCGAACUUUGGCGUGUGAUUCGAGCUGGUCUAGGACGGUGAAAGCGUAACCUUUUCUUAUUGCAAGCUUGCAACACGACAGCACCAAUCUGCACUACACGAACUUAACAAACAAAACCCCAUGUAUGGACACCAUUGACGUGGAUCCGACCAAGUCAAAGGGUAUAAGAUGAAGACGCCAUGCCGUGCGCCGCCGUGCGUAAUAACGUCGGGGGUGGGGGAAGCGAAGAACGACCAGCUCUCGACCGCGCGCGUACGCCAGCUGGUGCACGCACUGAAUGUAUACAACGGCAAAGUACAGUAGCACAUAGUAACUCCAAGAGCAGAGCAUAUGCAGGGGACAUAUCAGCAACUAGCACGGACGAUAGAAUGUCCCUCGGUAUGGAGGGAUACGAUCUUCGCGAUGAACUCGAUCCUACAUGGGAUACGCCGCUUGGAUCGAGCAAUGAAUUGCAUGUGCACCCACCUCUAUCAGCCGUGUGCCCCUUUCCGAGUUGGUCGCCAAUCAGCAGAUCAAUGCGUACUCUACUCCUUUUUGUUGUUUGGGAGAUUUGGAAGGAGAGAAAUCAGCGUAUCUUCAAAUAUAAAGAGUGGUUCCUAGGCUGUUGGCUAAAAUGAAGGAAGAAGCACGAACUUGGGUUCUCGCUGAAGCAAAAAAAAAUAGCGAGUUUCUUUCUCCACACGUAUAGUCUGUAUAGUUUUUUUUUUCUUUCUUUCUUUAGAGGUUGUAUUUUUCUACCGCUAUAUUUAAUAAAAUAGUACAAUCUCGUACUGAUUGCAUUAAAAAAA